rnacentral:rRNA from 1 species
AUUGAACGCUGGCGGCAGGCCUAACACAUGCAAGUCGAGCGGAUGAGGGGAGCUUGCUCCCUGAUUUAGCGGCGGACGGGUGAGUAAUGCGUAGGAAGCUGCCCGAUAGAGGGGGAUACCAGUUGGAAACGACUGUUAAUACCGCAUAAUGUCUACGGACCAAAGUGUGGGACCUUCGGGCCACAUGCUAUCGGAUGCGCCUACGUGGGAUUAGCUAGUUGGUGAGGUAAUGGCUCACCAAGGCGACGAUCUCUAGCUGGUUUGAGAGGAUGAUCAGCCACACUGGAACUGAGACACGGUCCAGACUCCUACGGGAGGCAGCAGUGGGGAAUAUUGGACAAUGGGCGCAAGCCUGAUCCAGCCAUGCCGCGUGUGUGAAGAAGGCCUUCGGGUUGUAAAGCACUUUCAGCGAGGAGGAAGGGAGUUGUGUUAAUAGCGCAGCUUUUUGACGUUACUCGCAGAAGAAGCACCGGCUAACUCUGUGCCAGCAGCCGCCGUAACAC